rnacentral:misc_RNA from 1 species
UUUCCGUAGGUGAACCUGCGGAAGGAUCAUUACCUAGAGUUUGUAGACUUCGGUCUGCUACCUCUUACCCAUGUCUUUUGAGUACCUUCGUUUCCUCGGCGGGUCCGCCCGCCGAUUGGACAACAUUCAAACCCUUUGCAGUUGCAAUCAGCGUCUGAAAAACUUUAAUAGUUACAACUUUCAACAACGGAUCUCUUGGUUCUGGCAUCGAUGAAGAACGCAGC